rnacentral:rRNA from 1 species
CGUAGGUGGCAAGCGUUGUCCGGAUUUAUUGGGUUAAAGGGUGCGUAGGCGGCCCUGUAAGUCAGUGCUGAAAUAUCCCGGCUUAACCGGAGGUGGCAUUGAUACUGCAGGGCUUGAGUACAGAUGAGGUAGGCGGAAUUGACGGUGUAGCGGUGAAAUGCAUAGAUAUCGUCAAGAACACCGAUAGCGAAGGCAGCUUACCAAGCUGUAACUGACGCUGAGGCACGAAAGUGUGGGAUCAAACAGGAUU